UUCGGACUAAGAGACCGGCGCACGGGUGCGUAACGCGUAUGCAAUCUACCUUUUACAGAGGGAUAGCCCAGAGAAAUUUGGAUUAAUACCUCAUAGUAUAGCAGUUUCGCAUGAAACCACUAUUAAAGUCACAACGGUAAAAGAUGAGCAUGCGUCCCAUUAGCUAGUUGGUAAGGUAACGGCUUACCAAGGCUACGAUGGGUAGGGGUCCUGAGAGGGAGAUCCCCCACACUGGUACUGAGACACGGACCAGACUCCUACGGGAGGCAGCAGUGAGGAAUAUUGGACAAUGGGCGCAAGCCUGAUCCAGCCAUGCCGCGUGCAGGAUGACGGUCCUAUGGAUUGUAAACUGCUUUUGUACGAGAAGAAACACUCCUAUGUAUAGGAGCUUGACGGUAUCGUAAGAAUAAGGAUCGGCUAACUCCGUGCCAGCAGCCGCGGUAAUACGGAGGAUCCAAGCGUUAUCCGGAAUCAUUGGGUUUAAAGGGUCCGUAGGCGGUUUAGUAAGUCAGUGGUGAAAGCCCAUCGCUCAACGGUGGAACGGCCAUUGAUACUGCUGAACUUGAAUUAUUAGGAAGUAACUAGAAUAUGUAGUGUAGCGGUGAAAUGCUUAGAGAUUACAUGGAAUACCAAUUGCGAAGGCAGGUUACU
rnacentral:rRNA from 1 species